AACGAACGCUGGCGGCAUGCCUAACACAUGCAAGUCGAACGAGACCUUCGGGUCUAGUGGCGCACGGGUGCGUAACGCGUGGGAAUCUACCCUUGGGUUCGGAAUAACAGUUAGAAAUGACUGCUAAUACCGGAUGAUGACGUAAGUCCAAAGAUUUAUCGCCCAAGGAUGAGCCCGCGUAAGAUUAGCUUGUUGGUGGGGUAAUGGCCUACCAAGGCGACGAUCUUUAGCUGGUCUGAGAGGAUGAUCAGCCACACUGGGACUGAGACACGGCCCAGACUCCUACGGGAGGCAGCAGUGGGGAAUAUUGGUCAAUGGGCGAAAGCCUGAUCCAGCAAUGCCGCGUGAGUGAUGAAGGCCUUAGGGUUGUAAAGCUCUUUUACCAGGGAUGAUAGUGACAGUACCUGGAGAAUAAGCUCCGGCUAACUCCGCGCCAGCCGCCGCGGUAA
rnacentral:rRNA from 1 species